GGCCAAACAGCAGGGCUCACGUGUGGUAGCUUGACCCAGACUGAAGGCACUGCGUGACCUGUGUAGAGCUAAGUGUGCCUUUUUGCACUGACCUGCAGUGCACCUUUUGCACUGACCUGUUUAAUUUUGGUGAUACGAAGAUGUUGGCAUCCUGAUUCCUCACUGUGACAGCGCGCUUCCAUCUGGAAAAGGGAAAACUGUGCUAUGAUGUGUAGAUUUCCUUUGAAUCUGCAGGAUUAGAGCUGCAAAAGGACACAGCCACGUGCUGCUGGAAUCGGCUUGAAGCUGAACCUUGAAUUUCAGGUAGAUUAAAAAAAGACAAUCGCUGCUGGAGGAGACUGCAGGAGAUGGAAUCUAAACCUGCUGGAGCCAAACUGACACCAAAAACAGCCAGCCUGCCACCGCUGCGGAGCUCUGGGGAUCAAUUGUUUUCCACGGUGGAUCCCUCAGACAGUGAAUUCCUCUGGUGGUUGGUAUGAUAUUCAUGGCCAGGGCUGUUAGUCACCUCCAGGGAACUGAAAUGGGAUGCCACUCCGGUUGCUGUUAUUAAUCUCGACUGCAGACAAAUAGGUUUUUGGCAUCAGGGACGUCUGUAUUGAUUUUCACAUCCAGGCUGAACCAUUCAUGGAGACGAGUAAAGUGGGACAUGCAUCAUAGGGUGAGUGCAGCACAAACCUGGUGGCACCAACCUCCAGCCCGAGAGAGAAGUUCCUUCUGGAUCACACGGGCUUAUUUGGGAUAUUCUGAGUGUUUCAGAAACACGAUAAGCAAGCAGUGGAAAUGAUGGAUUCGGCAACACCGAUGCAAAACUGCAAAGAGAACAGAGAGGGAAAGCAAGUUACAUUAGCAGAGAGAAUUCUACAUAAAAUACAGCGGAGCGGCUGGGGAACAGGCAGCCAAGAUGUUCAGCUGCAAGUGGAGUCCAAUUUGAUGCUCAGCAUGAGUUUAAAAGGAAGAUUUUCUCAGCUUUAAAAUAAAAGAGCAGUGUCAGACGUGGAUGGGGCAGCAAGCUGCAGUCACGGGAAUGGGUUGCCCAGGCUCAGGAAAAGUGAGAGCACUGAAAGCAGCUCGUUUUGCUGCCGUACACUUAGGGAUGUGCUCAUUGCAUCCAGGCAAAACACACGUGUAUGUCAGCACCUGGUUUGUGGAGAUCCACCACGAGUCAGUGGGAAUGUUGCCUUUGGGGGAGCAGACCUCAUUCCCUGCUGGCUGAUGGCCCUCAGUUUUUGCAGCCGUGGCCCUUUGACACACACAGAUUGCUGCCAGCCAGGACCCGAUCCUGCUGCCACUGAAAUCAAUGGAAGUUUUGUUGUUGGCUUCCAUGGGAUGAAGGAUUCAAUCCGGCAGUCGAUAGGGUUCGAGUGUCCUUUGUCUAAGUGGGGUCGUGUUAAUUCUGGAGGAUGGGCCUACAUCAUAUCCAUUAUUGGGAUUUGCAGCUGAGCAUAAAAACAGGAUUAGGGGGAAGAGAGAAACAAUCCCAACAGUGAGCGGGGAGCCCCGAGCGAGCCCCGGCCAUCAGCGAGCGUGGGGCAAAGAGAGGGGAAACCCACCGAGGAGGUUCCCCCCCUUUCUGCUCCUUCUGCAGCAAACUUUGAGUCGCCGGCUCGUUAUUAACAAUUAGCAAAGCGUCGGCAGAAGCAAUUAUUGUCACACUCACACAGAUAUUAAUCGAUGGCGUUUGUUUGCCGCUGCUUCUGUUCCCUCUGCUCCGACACCGCAGCACCACCAGCAAAUCGGGAUGCGUGGUACAUAUGCUGGUGCUCCACUUAAUAAAAAAGACACCUAUAUUUUCAGAUAAACUUUGUUAGUAAUUCAUGAGGUAAGUGACUAUUUAUGCUAAUCGGGGAGAAAUAUAUUCUCGAGCGGAGCGCGUUCCAUAAAUUUGAAUGCAAAACGUUCAAUUAUGAAGUAAACACAGGUAAUGCAAAUAGUAAAUUACCUCC
ensembl:lncRNA